rnacentral:lncRNA from 1 species
GCUAUAGUAUUCUACUUGCUCUAAGUGCGUGCAUGCAUGUAGUGAUGGUUAGACGUGGACAAGUGGGCCGGCUACAUGGGGGACCGAAACGUGACUGACGCUAGCAAUUUUUCAGCUGCGUGAGCUAUACCUGUCCUCUUUUCUUUCUUGUCCCUCGGAUACUGAUCUAGCAGUUUAAAAUCAAAGUGACUGAAAUGAUAGAAAAUUUCAGAUACAUGAUGCAGAUGUGCUCCCAAAGAAAUAACAAUCAAGACCUAAGAAUUCCGUAAGCUUGACGCUAGCUUCCGGCACUCACUUCCCACACCACCAUAGCAGCCAUUAAGAUGAAAGGGGAUCAAUCACCUUUUGAUCUGAGCUGAUCUGCAACUUUUCAGACGUACAAAGUACCUCAUCAAAGACAAACCCAUUACCGUUGAAAGAAUCCGACCAACCCAACACCCCUAACAAGCCAUUGAAUUCCAGACUUGACACCUUCAGGCGACGAUGUCCGAGGAGCAAAUCCUGACUCAGACGACCACCAACUAUGAUCGAAUUCACCGUCUUCCUGCUACCACGAUGGAGAAAAUUGUUAGCACGUACUCCCGUGCUCAGCGACGAUGCUAGAGGUCACAAGUCUACCAUAGGGAUGAUGGCGCCGGCACACCAUUCCUAUUUGCCCAGACUAGCGACUAAAUACAUUACCCACAAAAAAGCAGAGCGCCAUGUCUGGAACUGUCUGAAGCUUACUAUUUGGUGGAGACGUCGCCCUUACCGGAGCAAAGACAUCGAGUAGCCAAAACCUAAGCCACUAGGCUCUAGAACAUAAAACUAUAUGAUCCAUAGCGCAAGGGAACCAGCUACCUACUUCACCAUCGACGACAGAGAGCGGUCAUCAGCCGAUUAUUGCUGUCAUUGAUGAAAUAUCUUGGUUUUCGAUAUCCACAUUGCGUCUCCUUUUACUUAAUUACUCCCUGGUUUGGUUAUCACACUGACCGACGAGCCUUGUGGCCAGAGACACCACAGAGGAGGCAGGUAGGAGGAUCUCGGCGGUCUUUGACACGGUGAAGACUGGAGAAGCGCUUGUAGCAUCGACCCGCUGCCUUGUCCUUCACAAGG